rnacentral:rRNA from 1 species
CCUACGGGUGGCAGCAGUGAGGAAUAUUGCACAAUGGGGGCAACCCUGAUCCAGCCACGCCGCGUGAGUGAUGACGGCCUUCGGAUUGUAAAGCUCUUUCGUACGUGACGAUAAUGACGGUAGCGUCUAAGGAAGCACCGGCUAACUACGUGCCAGCAGCCGCGGUAAUACGGAGGUUGCGAGCGUUGUACGGAUUUACUGGGCGUAAAGGGAGCGUAGGCGGACUUGUAAGUGAGCGGUGAAAUACUGGGGCUCAACUUCGGUGCUGCCUUUAUGACUGUGAGUCUAGAGUACAGGAGAGGAGAAUGGAAUACCCAGUGUAGAGGUGAAAUUCGUAGAGAUUAGGUAGAACACCAGUGGCGAAGGCGAUUAUCUGGACUGUAACUGACGCUGAGGCUCGAAAGCGUGGGGAUCAAACAGGAUUAGAUACCCCGGUAGUC